UACGUAGGGAGCAAGCGUUGUCCGGAAUCAUUGGGCGUAAAGCGCGCGUAGGUGGCUCUAUAAGUCCGUUGUGAAAGUCAAAGGCUCAACCUUUGAAAGCCGAUGGAUACUGUGGAGCUAGAGUACGGAAGAGGCGAGUGGAAUUCCUGGUGUAGCGGUGGAAUGCGCAGAUAUCGGGAGGAACACCUAUGGCGAAGGCAGCUCGCUGGGACGUUACUGACGCUGAGACGCGAAAGCGUGGGGAGCAAACAGG
rnacentral:rRNA from 1 species